UGUAGUUGUUCUAUUGGUCGGGGGUGGGAUUUAAAUUCACACAUUUAAAGGGUAAACGCACGUGACUUGCUCUGGAGAGGCACAGCAGGGAGGACAGUGGUUCAACAAACCUGUCUCGGAUCCUCCUGGAUUGGAAGUUGAUAAGGAGUGGGAUGACAUUUUAAUUGUGGCGGCGACAUGAAAGCAGCACCUAAUGACACAAGCUGUAAUUAAGAUAGAAAUGAAAUAAAACAUCCGGAAACCGCAUUCCUCAGCUGAACAAGCAGGUUCCUAAGGCUAAGAAUAGGUCCUCGCUUUCAUUAAAUAUGCUUCUGCUGUGAAUUUACUGAAGAGUGUAAUUGCUUUUAAGAAUCUGAAUGUCUUUCAUUACAUGUGUAAAUCUGAUACGUUUAAUGCUUGAAACUAUACACCAUGCUGUCCCCUGCACCUAGGACACCUUUAUAGAAACAAUCCAUAGAUUUUUUCCUGCUGAAACAUAUUUAAUAAUGAAUGAUCAUGACGAUGGUCCAGCUGGACUGAAACAUAUACGA